GAUCCUACGGGGGGCAGCAGUGAGGGAUAUUGGGCAAUGGGGGAAACCCUGACCCAGCGACGCCGCGUGAGGGAAGACGGUCUUCGGAUUGUAAACCUCUGUCUUUGGGGACGAAAAAGGACGGUACCCAAGGAGGAAGCUCCGGCUAACUACGUGCCAGCAGCCGCGGUAAUACGUAGGGAGCGAGCGUUGUCCGGAAUUACUGGGUGUAAAGGGAGCGCAGGCGGCGCGUUAAGCCUGGUGUGAAAGCCCGCGGCCCAACCGCGGGACUGCAUUGGGAACUGGCGCGCUGGAGUGCCGGAGGG
rnacentral:rRNA from 1 species